UAAAAAUGUAUUUUAUUUGGUACUUUCAUGCAAGUAUUUGUUAACUUUAUUUUUGUUACAAAACCCAUGUAAAUUGGAGAGGAACAUAUUUUGUUUCCGGUUUGGUCACAUUGUUGGGGGGACAAUUAAUAUGUGACGGAAUAAGGGGAGCAGCAUGAGACAGCAAACAUUUGAUGGAAGAGGUUAAUGGAGUCUCGGCUGGAAAAUAAACUUUAUUCCCUCUGAGUUUGUGAGGCCAAUGAGUUCUGACGGCAUUUGUUCGGCAUUUUUUGGCAUCAUUUGGGAGGAGAAGAAGGCGUGGCUGAAAUAAAUGUCUGUUUGAGAAAAACGAACAA